rnacentral:rRNA from 1 species
GUAGGUGGCAAGCGUUGUCCGGGAAUUAUUGGGGCGUAAAGCGCGCGCAGGCGGUUCUUUAAGUCUGAUGUGAAAGCCCAUGGGCUCAACCGUGGAGGGUCAUUGGAAACUGGAGAACUUGAGUACAGAAGAGGAAAGCGGAAUUCCACGUGUAGCGGUGAAAUGCGUAGAGAUGUGGAGGAACACCAGUGGCGAAGGCGGCUUUCUGGUCUGUAACUGACGCUGAGGCGCGAAAGCGUGGGGAGCAAACAGGAUUAGAUACCCUGGUAGUCCACGCCGUAAACGAUGAGUGCUAAGUGUUAGGGGGUUUCCGCCCCUUAGUGCUGCAGCUAACGCAUUAAGCACUCCGCCUGGGGAGUACGGCCGCAAAGGCUG